rnacentral:rRNA from 1 species
UGGGGAAUAUUGGACAAUGGGGGAAACCCUGAUCCAGCGACGCCGCGUGUGUGAAGAAGGCCUGCGGGUUGUAAAGCACUUUCGGUGGGAACGAAAUAUGCCGGGCUAAUACCCCGGUAGGCUGACGUUACUCAAUGAAGAAGCACCGGCUAACUCUGUGCCAGCAGCCGCGGUAAUACAGAGGGUGCAAACGUUGCUCGGAAUUAUUGGGCGUAAAGCGCGUGUAGGCGGCUUGUUAAGUUGGUUGUGAAAACCCAUGGCUCAACCAUGGAAGUGCGUCCAAAACUGGCAAGCUAGAGUUCUGACGAGGAUGGCGGAAUUCCCAGUGUAGAGGUGAAAUUCGUAGAUAUUGGGAGGAACACCGGUGGCGAAGGCGGCCAUCUGGGAAGAUACUGACGCUGAGACGCGAAAGCGUGGGGAGCAAACAGGAUUAGAUACCCCAGUAGUCCCUGAGCGGGCUGGCAAGGCGCAU